GCCUAAAGCGUCCGUAGCCGGCUUUGUAAGUUUUCGGUUAAAUCUAUAUGCUCAACAUAUAGGCUGCCGGGAAUACUGCAAAGCUAGGGAGUGGGAGAGGUAGACGGUACUCCGUAGGAAGGGGUAAAAUCCUUUGAUCUAUGGAUGACCACCUGUGGCGAAGGCGGUCUACCAGAACACGUCUGACGGUGAGGGAUGAAAGCUGGGGGAGCGAACCGGAUUAGAUACCCGGGUAGUCCCAGCUGUAAACUAUGCAAACUCAGUGAUGCAUUGGCUUGUGGCCAGUGCAGUGCCGCAGGGAAGCCGUUAAGUUUGCCGCCUGGGAAGUACGUACGCAAGUAUGAAACUUAAAGGAAUUGGCGGGGGAGCACCACAAGGGGUGAAGCCUGCGGUUCAAUUGGAGUCAACGCCAGAAAUCUUACCCGGAGAGACAGCAGGAUGAAGGUCAAGCUGAAGACUUUACCAGACAAGCUGAGAAGUGGUGCAUGGCCGUCGCCAGCUCGUGCCGUGAGGUGUCCUGUUAAGUCAGGUAACGAGCGAGAUCCUUGCCUCUAGUUGCCACCAUUACUCUCAGGAGUAGUGGGGCGAAUUAGCGGGACCGCCGCAGUUAAUGCGGAGGAAGGAAGGGGCCACGGCAGGUCAGUAUGCCCCGAA
rnacentral:rRNA from 1 species